rnacentral:rRNA from 1 species
UACGUAGGAUGCAAGCGUUGUCCGGAAUUAUUGGGCGUAAAGCGAACGUAGGCGGUUCUUUAAGUUUGGUCUUAAAGACCGGGGCUCAACCCCGGGAAUGGAUCGAAAACUGGGGAACUGGAGGACGUCAGAGGACAGUGGAAUUCCGAGUGUAGCGGUGAAAUGCGUAGAGAUUCGGAGGAACACCAGUGGCGAAAGCGACUGUCUGGGGCGUUCCUGACGCUGAGGUUCGAAAGCUCGGGGAGCAAACAGG